AGAGCAGUGCAUCUCAGUGCAUCUUUAUUGAGGGUCUAUUUUUCCGUGUUUCUGCAUGUCCUGACCAUUACCACAGCCAUAACAUGAAUCUGACAGCACUGACUCUUCUUUUCUCUCUUUGGAAAACUGGUGAUGAAACAAGAUUUCUGAAGUAAGUGGCUGUCAAUCAAUACCCAAUAUGCACACAGGUGCUGAUUUCACACUCUUCUAGACAAAAAUCAGCAAUAAGUGGAAAGAUAUAUACACAUGAAAUCUGGAAAGCCACUGGAUGUGUCAAAAUGAGCCUCAAAUGAAGAUUCACCUUGAUCUCAUUAUGACAUUAGACUGCUGCCAAGUGGACAGCUGAUCUCAGAGCAGAUCUGACUACAGAAGACAAGCACCAAAAGAGAGGAUUCCUUAGCCAUCAACAGGAGAACCCUGUCCAACUCAUCUCCCAAUCCAAAAGACUGCAGGAAAGUAUCUGCCUUUUAAAUCUGAACAAGAGACUGAAAACAUAAAGUAAGUAUCCUCAAAAUGAGAGAGCAAAAAAUAUGUUGGAAUGAAAAAUUCAAAGCCUGACGAUAUUGAAGCAAAUAUUUACACUUGU